rnacentral:lncRNA from 1 species
UGCAAAUGGCAAAUGCAAAACUUCCGCUAUUGCUAAAAUAAGGUUACCAUUGCCAACUUGAGUUCUAACAAAAGGGGUAAAACAAGUUUGCCAUAAAAGCAAAAGAAUUUAACAUCUCAAGCAACAUAUCGCAUAUGGUGAUAGAUAAAAGUCAUUUGAAGUUGCUUUCUGUCGUAGCUCUUAACAGGAGCAUUUCAAUAACCUAUUAAGCAGGCCCGUGACUAGACACAAAAUGGUAUAGGUUAACGCCCAGCAGGAGCAGCACUAGCCUCUGGCCUGCUCACAAUUGAAAAAAACCUGAUCCUGUUGACAUCACAACUAAUAGUCCCGCUUGUUUGGACACUCUGAUGCUCUGUGGCCAGACCUCCCGCAGGUGAAGCAUGAACCUCCAAAGCUUCUGUCAUAAUAACAUCUCAUGUUAGACUACUUUUUUUUUAUAGGUAACAUCUCAUGUUAGACUAUGAGUUCAAUUAUAUCAUUGCCGGUGGUUAGAUGGCAAUAACCUUAGAUAAUUAACAUCUUCAAGACAUAAUUGAUAUUAGAUAAAAAAUUUAUAUUAUAAAAUUAAAUUUGCAGGUAAAAAGAACUAAAAUCAUGAAUAUGGUUUAAAAGUAAGAAGAAUUUUAUAUUUU